rnacentral:rRNA from 1 species
GUGGGGAAUCUUGCGCAAUGGGCGAAAGCCUGACGCAGCCAUGCCGCGUGAAUGAUGAAGGUCUUAGGAUUGUAAAAUUCUUUCACCGGGGACGAUAAUGACGGUAUCCGGAGAAGAAGCUCCGGCUAACUUCGUGCCAGCAGCCGCGGUAAUACGAAGGGGGCUAGCGUUGCUCGGAAUUACUGGGCGUAAAGGGCGCGUAGGCGGACAGCUUAGUCAGAGGUGGAAGCCCAGGGCUCAACCUUGGAAUUGCCUUUGAUACUGGCUGUCUUGAGUUUGGGAGAGGUGAGUGGAACUCCGAGUGUAGAGGUGAAAUUCGUAGAUAUUCGGAAGAACACCAGUGGCGAAGGCGACUCACUGGCCCAAUACUGACGCUGAGGCGCGAAAGCGUGGGGAGCAAACAGGAUUAGAAACCCCAGUAGUCC